CCCGCAACGAGCGCAACCCCUGCUCUUAGUUGCCAUCAGGUUAUGCUGGGCACUCUAAGAGGACUGCCGGUGAAAAACCGGAGGAAGGUGGGGAUGACGUCAAGUCCUCAUGGCCUUUAUGCCCAGGGCUACACACGUACUACAAUGGGCGGUACAAAGAGUCGCAAACCCGCGAGGGGGAGCCAAUCUCAAAAAGCCGCUCUCAGUUCGGAUUGCAGUCUG
rnacentral:rRNA from 1 species